GGAGUUGUGGCUCAGUGGUAGAGCGCUUGCCUAACAUGUGUGAGGUACUGUGUUCAAUUCUCAGCACUACA
rfam:Ictidomys tridecemlineatus contig071753, whole genome shotgun sequence.